UACAGAGUCAAUGUGGAGGCUAUAUACAGGGAGGUACCGGUACAGAGUCAAUGUGGAGACUAUAUACAGGGGGUACCGGUACAGAGUCAAUGUGGAGACUAUAUACAGGGGGUACCAGUACAGAGUCAAUGUGGAGGCUAUAUACAGGGGGUACCAGUACAGAGUCAAUGUGGAGGCUAUAUACAGGGGGUACCAGUACAGAGUCAAUGUGGAGGCUAUAUACAGGGGGUACCAGUACAGAGUCCAUGUGGAGGCUAUAUACAGGAGGUACCAGUACAGAGUCAAUGUGGAGACUAUAUACAGGGAGGUACCGGUACAGAGUCAAUGUGGAGGCUAUAUACAGGGGGUACCAGUACAGAGUCAAUGUGGAGGCUAUAUACAGG
ensembl:lncRNA